CUCUCUCCUCCGGCCUGACUCCUCCUCUCUCCUCCGGCCUGACUCCUCCUCUCCUCCGGCCUGACUCCUCCCUCUGACUCCUCCUCUCUCCUCCGGCCUGACUCCUCCUGUGUCAUCAGUAUCUUCCUCACAGAAAAGAAGACCAACGAGGAAUAAAGUGGCAAUUAAUGGGCCAUGCCGAGCUGUUGGUGCAGUGGCAGUCUUGCUCUGGAUGUGGGGCGAAGUGGAAACAUUCCUGGGAGCCAAAGGAAAACUUUCCUAAUUAAAUAUGCCUGACUUUUGUUUUUCUACAUUGGAGUAAUAAAAUACAUAUUUAAAAAAACA